CACUGGGUGGGCACUCAAGACACACUGCCUUGCAAUAUCCUUCUGAUCAUUCACCCUUGAAUGUAGACCUCACCAGACUGUGAGCUCUGGAUGGCCAAAUGUCUGUGUGCUGCUAUGAGGAAAAAAAAAAAAAGUUUUCAACAAAGCAGAUCUCUUUCCCUGGACUGAGCACGCCUCCAGAGAAGACGCAACUCCAGCCGGAGACUCACCUCUUUGGAAUGUGGUGUCCCCCCCACGUGAUGGCAAUGCUGUAUUUCCCCGGGGUGCUGGGGUAAUACUCAAAUGCAUAGACUCCAUCCAGAAAGCCUUUCUGUUUCACCAGCUCCUCCAGACCCUCUGUGGGAAGAAAGCACACCAUCUUUCUAAUGCAAUUCGAGGCUCAGAACAAGCAUCCAAAAGACGAGAGCAGAAAGACAGCAAUAUCUAUAAGACAUAAGCCACAGAGGGAAACGAAGUGGGCUGCCUCAGAGUGUGAGACCCUCAAAACCUAGGAGAUUAAUCCAAGCCUAAAAAUAGAUCCAUUUCUGCCUCAAAGUGUGGGGAAAAGGAAGACUUCCCAGCUAAACGGCAUUAGUAGGCUCGCUGAGCUAAAAGAAGGCCGCAAGGUCCUGGACCUCCUGGGACUAUAUUCAGACAAAUCUAGUCCUAUCUCAAUUUUCCUUAACGAUCAUAGCUAGCUGUCUUAGCCUCUCACAAAACUGAGGAGGGACAGAACCCUUAGGAGUAUUUGGCAUGAAUUUCUGGCAUAAAUUACUGCCCUCGCACAUCUUUUUUCAAAGCUGGACGACAAAAGUGAGAAAGUUCCUGUAUGCUCUCCACAAGAGGACAGGUUUUAGAUGCUGCACCACAAACUCCAGACUGAGCCAUCAGAAGCCUUAAUAUGUGAGGCGGUCAAGCUACCACUGUUCCCACCUGUAUCCAGGGUAGACGUAAUUAAUCAACCAAUCCCCAUGGAGCCCAGAUUGCCUCAACUCUUUGACAUAGCUCUCUGGGAUCAAUCAAAACCGGCUGUGGGAUGAAAUCCAUAUGCUAUGGCUGCAAAGCCAGCCAAAGUCACACCUGAGAUGAGGAAACAAAGCAGCACUUACUAGGACC